GUUGGUGAGGUAACGGCUCACCAAGGCGACGAUCCCUAGCUGGUCUGAGAGGAUGACCAGCCACACUGGAACUGAGACACGGUCCAGACUCCUACGGGAGGCAGCAGUGGGGAAUAUUGCACAAUGGGCGCAAGCCUGAUGCAGCCAUGCCGCGUGUAUGAAGAAGGCCUUCGGGUUGUAAAGUACUUUCAGCGGGGAGGAAGGUGUUGUGGUUAAUAACCGCAGCAAUUGACGUUACCCGCAGAAGAAGCACCGGCUAACUCCGUGCCAGCAGCCGCGGUAAUACGGAGGGUGCAAGCGUUAAUCGGAAUUACUGGGCGUAAAGCGCACGCAGGCGGUCUGUCAAGUCGGAUGUGAAAUCCCCGGGCUCAACCUGGGAACUGCAUUCGAAACUGGCAGGCUUGAGUCUUGUAGAGGGGGGUAGAAUUCCAGGUGUAGCGGUGAAAUGCGUAGAGAUCUGGAGGAAUACCGGUGGCGAAGGCGGCCCCCUGGACAAAGACUGACGCUCAGGUGCGAAAGCGUGGGGAGCAAACAGGAUUAGAUACCCUGGUAGUCCACGCCGUAAACGAUGUCUACUUGGAGGUUGUGCCCUUGAGGCGUGGCUUCCGGAGCUAACGCGUUAAGUAGACCGCCUGGGGAGUACGGCCGCAAGGUUAAAACUCAAAUGAAUUGACGGGGGCCCGCACAAGCGGUGGAGCAUGUGGUUUAAUUCGAUGCAACGCGAAGAACCUUACCUGGUCUUGACAUCCACGGAAGUUUUCAGAGAUGAGAAUGUGCCUUCGGGAACCGUGAGACAGGUGCUGCAUGGCUGUCGUCAGCUCGUGUUGUGAAAUGUUGGGUUAAGUCCCGCAACGAGCGCAACCCUUAUCCUUUGUUGCCAGCGGUUAGGCCGGGAACUCAAAGGAGACUGCCAGUGAUAAACUGGAGGAAGGUGGGGAUGACGUCAAGUCAUCAUGGCCCUUACGACCAGGGCUACACACGUGCUACAAUGGCGCAUACAAAGAGAAGCGACCUCGCGAGAGCAAGCGGACCUCAUAAAGUGCGUCGUAGUCCGGAUUGGAGUCUGCAACUCGACUCCAUGAAGUCGGAAUCGCUAGUAAUCGUGGAUCAGAAUGCCACGGUGAAUACGUUCCCGGGCCUUGUACACACCGCCCGUCACACCAUGGGAGUGGGUUGCAAAAGAAGUAGGUAGCUUAACCUUCGGGAGGGCGCUUACCACUUUGUGAUUCAUGACUGGGGUGAAGUCGUAACAAGGUAACCGUAGGGGAACCUGCGGUUGGAUCACCUCCUUACCUUAAAGAA
rnacentral:rRNA from 1 species